rnacentral:rRNA from 1 species
AUUGAACGCUGGCGGCAUGCUUUACACAUGCAAGUCGAACGGUAACAGGUCUUCGGAUGCUGACGAGUGGCGCACGGGUGAGUAAUACAUCGGAACGUGCCUAGUAGUGGGGGAUAACUACUCGAAAGAGUAGCUAAUACCGCAUGAGAUCUACGGAUGAAAGCAGGGGACCUUCGGGCCUUGUGCUACUAGAGCGGCUGAUGGCAGAUUAGGUAGUUGGUGGGGUAAAGGCUUACCAAGCCUGCGAUCUGUAGCUGGUCUGAGAGGACGACCAGCCACACUGGGACUGAGACACGGCCCAGACUCCUACGGGAGGCAGCAGUGGGGAAUUUUGGACAAUGGGCGAAAGCCUGAUCCAGCAAUGCCGCGUGCAGGAUGAAGGCCCUCGGGUUGUAAACUGCUUUUGUACGGAACGAAAAGCAUGGGGCUAAUAUCCCCGGGUCAUGACGGUACCGUAAGAAUAAGCACCGGCUAACUACGUG